GGCCUGAUGGUCUAGUGGUAUGAUUCUCGCUUUGGGAUCGGUCUUACGAGACCACAUCUUGAUUGCGAGAGGCCCCGUGUUCAAUCCACGGUCAGGCCC